rnacentral:ribozyme from 1 species
CACAGAGCAAACGAUUUGACCGUUCAAUGUGGCGGCAGAUAUUCUGUCACAGUUGCAAGCCUGA